GGGGAUUACCUGAAGCCUCUCACACAAAGUGAGAUGUUUCAUCACGCUGGAGUCAAUAGUUACUCUCAGGACGAGCACACAAGCACUCCGCUCGCUCAUGGACAUGUUCAGCAGCAAGAAUGCGUCCCGUCAUUUGCUAACAAAAUGCAUGCAAACAAUAUGAGUAAGACCGCAACUUCAGUAGGCCACCAAUACCGACAGGAAAAAGACAAUCAAUCAGGCAUCUCUAAUACGAUAAGCAUGGCUGCCUCUCCCCAACCAGAUGCUAUUUACUCAGCAACAGAGGAGCCUAGAUUACAUGUUGAUUAUACAAAUCAAACAGCAUAUCAAAUGAAAACGGCAAGUGCUAAGCAGUAUUUGAAAGAAUCAACGCGGGGAGAUCUGACUCAUGUCGAUAGAUAUGAGCAAGUGAAAGACAACAAAUACGCUUUCAGUGACCUGUCCUCAACAGACAGCUGGACACACCAGUGUCAGGAAAAAGAGACUCCCUAUGUGAUGGACAAAUUGAACGUUCAAUUGCCAACAGAAGCCCCUCCCUUGACAGAAAAUGACCCAAAUGCACAAUUUUACCCAGAAAUGGAUAUGUUGACAGAUAUGUUACUUUUACCACCACCGGAAUAUGGAUCUAGCGAAGAUUGGAAUAUGAGUAGCACUAAAACGCAAGACAACUUGGAGUUUGAUGAGAGCAAAGCUGAGGGAUUCCCUGUUUAUCCACAAAAGGAUGGCUUGCAUCCUCCUUAUCACACAUCGGUGAACCCUUACCUUUCAAACCAGACAAACCAAGUGCAGCAAUAUACUGCAUGUAGUACUCAGUCUACACCUGGAGAUGCUGCAGCCAAUGAAAAACAGCCCAGUAGAACAUUACAGGAAUAUCGAGUUCACAAUCAGCAAGAUGGAAUAAAGGAAAUCCAGUCAACUGAAAAAUACCCUCAAAUUAGGGGUACAGAGCAAGAACACACAAAGCAAAAGUCAUAUGGUGCUGAUGGCCAUGACAACUACAUGUUCACGCAGGAAUCUUCUCAGAUACAAAAGGAUAUUGAAGUGCUUGAGACGACGAACAAACUCAGGGAUCCACAAGAUGCCGUAAAACAGCAGUGUGAGCUCAAUUUGAAGGAAAAAACAUUAACAGCUAACCAAAUGCAAAGUAUGGCCAAACCACAGUUUUCGAAAAAUCAAGAUCGAGAAAUACAACUUGUUGAUGUCAAAGAAAAAGCAAAGGGGAAAAUAAACGAAAAACAUAUUCAAACAGAGUUGUCUAAACAACUAGAAUGGGCUCAAACAUUGCAGACAAAAUUAGAAUCGUUCAGAGCAGGGUUGACCGAGGAGCUGGUAACACACAGAGCCACAGAAGGCCCAACAGAACCGACUACAGAACCAGUCUUGGUAGAGGGUCAGCCACAUGGAGAGGAAACCAUAACGGACAAGGUACACGUUGUGCAAAGUAAAGAUGUAAACAUUACAGAGCAAGAGGACAAGCAGGUCAGAGCACACCCAGCAGAAGUAGACCAGGGAAUGAAAUCACAACGAAACAAAGACGAUCGUUCAACGGCGGAGCUGAAAGAGAGGUCAACGGCUGAGGAGGACGAGGUUGAGGUAGCCCAAAAAGAAUGUAUUGAAACAAUAAGAAUCAGCCCCGAUGGAAAAGCAAAGGGAGAGGUGCUAGCUGGGAGAGAACCGGGAGCAGAACAAGCUAAAGAAGGGCAGGAACCAGCAGGGACAAUUCCAGCCGGAGUUCUCAAAAUGAAACAGUCGGAACAAGUUCAAACAGUCAGCGGGGCCCCAGUUGAACCUAUAAAAGCGCAGCUUAGCAAAACAGGAAUAGAAAAAGCAAAGCUGCCUAAAAUGGAUGAAACAAAAGCUGUCUACAUUAAAAUUGACGAUGACAUUAAUGUGAAAGGCAAGGAUGAGCUACUUAGAGCAGAGAAGAUCAAUGCAGAUCCACCUAAAGUGGAAAAGGUCAAAGAUCCAUUUAGAACAAAUCCGGCACCGGCAGAACACGCCAAAGUGAAAAUAGAGAAGGCCAAAGAAGAACCGAACAAAGUAGUGACAGCAGAGGAUGAGCCGCCCAGCACAGAGCAAGGCCGGGCGAGGAUGGAACAUGCAAAAAUAGAACAUGCAAAAGAAAAACGAGAACACGCAAAAGCACUAUCUGAGAAAAGGAUGGAGCAUUCUGUUGAAUCACUAUUGAUAAGAAAGGCAGAAAAGGAUAAGCUCAAACAGGAGCCAGGCCGGGUGGAGAAGGUUAAGACGGAGCUAGCCAAAGCCAGAGCUGAGUUAGCCGAAUUUAAGGAGAAAAUGAAAGAGGAGCAAAAAGUAAAACAGACCAAUGCCAUCGUGUCAAAGGAAGUCGACAAAAACAUUCUCCAGAAGGAAAAACACCCGCCCCCAUACCAACCAACCGAGGAGACACCUGUCAUAGUUCUGGUUGAUGAGUAUGAACGUGUGAGGGAGAAAUAUGGUUUCAGUGAAACAGCUUUAGCCAAUAAAAACCUGGCCAGUGCCAACGAUGUCGCCUCCCCAAGCCAGGACAUGGAAAUGUCACGACCGCAUAGUGCUAAAGGUGAAGAGGCAUCAGGUAUCAGCAAACCAAGGGAUGCAGAGAAUCCCCAGAUUGCCACUGAGGACGAGGCCAAGAGACCAAACGCUAAAGGCGAGGAAUUCAGGGAGAACCGAUAUGUUUACAGUGAAACCUCCAAAGAGUUUAAAUUAACAAGCCCAUAUGAUUCUUCUUCUUCACUUGUAACUCAACAAAUGGAUAGGGAAAUAGGUGUUGUUAAAAACACGAAGGACAAGGUGUUAAAUACCAAACCAGGGCCUGUGAGUGCCAACAUAGACGUUUCGCAGCCAGGAGGAUCCAACAUUAAUCCAACUAAAUCUCACAUGAACAUGAACACACAUGAGAGACAACUAAAUCCAAAUAAAUAUUCACAUUCAACUCCUUCACGGACUUUGAGCCAUAAAGAGAGGACCCAGACCAAGCAGGAAAUACUGACGUCUAAGAUAAAAGCUCAUGCUGAAAAGGAGAUUUCGGCGAUAAAGGAAAAGCAUUUCGCAAGUGGAAAGAGUGUACAGCAGAGGCUGCCAUCGCAAGAGGUCACUAAGCCGCUUGACAAAAAUAUCCCUCACAGCAUUGCACCAAGGGAAAAGCAUGCUACAGCACCAUUGAAAACCUCUGUCCCCGACAGUGAAACCACACCACCUGUAAUGCCCUCAAAUGCAACACAAAAGCAAGAACCUUUAAAACGUGUUCAAGACACUGUUGUACCGCAACCCAUGGCAUUAAAAGAAACAAAAAAUAUCAAUAACAGAAAUGAAGAAUUGAAGGCGAGAGAGAAGAAAUCUGCAACAAAGGCAACAUCUCAGAUCAAGGAGGAGAAUCCUAUCAGCCUUGGAAAAGAAGAAGUGAUGAAUGUAAACGUUAUCCAUCAGGCCGCCGAGGACGUCACCACACCUCAGAAGACCAAAGCACAUCCACCACCAUCAAAGCCGGAAGAAAGUCCUCAAAAUGAGACUCCUCAAAGCUCAGACGCAGCGAUAGGGGAAACACUACAACGUCCUGAAGGGCCACCGAUGGUAAAACUUGGGUUCGGUCAGGAUGAGGCCCCAGCCAAUGACGACAGUUUGCAGAUCAUGGGAAUAAUGGUUACUGUUAGAGCAAAAGCUGAAACAGUGGGCACUAACGAUGAAGAUGGAGGUGCUAUAAAGGAAGCCCGAGAGAAAGCAAAGAUUGAUUCUGAAAUUAAUGAUGACAUUAAACCGCCUGGCAUCCUGUGUCUGGAAACAACAAAAGAAAAUAUUGCACAAGAUGUUUCUAACGGUAGAGCAGAGGAGCAAAAACAAUUUGUACACGCAUCUCAGCCCACUGUCGGAAUGCAGUACACUAAAGUGGGUGCAAAGAACCACCCUGAAAAUGAAACAGGAGAAACAACAGAUCAUCUGGAAAACAAGAUGGCUGACCUCACUUAUAAAAGGCUGACUGCACAAAAAGAAAGCUCUUUAAUGAGAAAAACAUCGCACAGUCACGCUGUCCAUCGAGGAGACCCUGUGGCCGAUAAAGAGAAUUCCUCUACAAGUAUGAAACCUGCUCCUAAUAAACCAGGGAAAACUCAACCCAUCCUCUUCAAGCAGGGGAAAAUAACUGAAAAGGCAAAGAUCUACACAAAUAAAAAUAGCAGUGAGGUGAAAAGCAACGUCAAAGGUAAUGUUGAAGUGGGCAAUGAUCCCUCACUGGCAAAAGCAAUGGAAAUAGGGUUUGACUCCCAAACGUCUUCUUUGAAAAGUGACAUCAAGAGUUCCAAAAUGCAGAGCCACCCAGCAUCAGAAAAAUACAAAAUGGCCGAUCCUAUCCCUUUAACGAAAACUGACAAAGUACAAGAUGGAGGAACUGUGCCCCUCCUGGUAGACGAGAGAACACACCCAUCCCUACCGGAAGCAGAACCUCAGAACAAAAACAGCACCUCUCCUGAAUUAAAAGGACCCGAAAAUGUGCAUAUAUCUAUAGGUCAGCAAGGUGCAAGGACACCUAGUGAAGAGAAUCAUCAAGAAGAUGGAAAUGUGCACAUAGGCUGUAUUGCUGUUCGAGUAGUGCAAGGGGUAAUUGUACAAGACGACAAAGAGAAAGCAGGCAAGGAAGUAGUUGCAAUUCAAAGUCUUGCUGAAACAAUGAACACAGAAAGAAACAGGGACGGAGCCCUACCCUUAACACCAGCAAUCAAACCGUCUGCUGAAAACGUUGUCCACCAAGUCCAACACAUGGGAUCCACUAACCAGAGCCGCAAGGUCACCGACAGCAGUGAGGCAAAACGCGAUGAAGAUGAACAAUCUAAGAUGGCUUCAGCCAAAGCAGUGGGUGAAAGCAAUACCACGGUCCAGGCAACAGAGGAAGAGUAUUUCCAGUUUCAGGGGGUAACAGAAAGAAGCCAGGAACCAGAUGACGCUAUGCUAGACAGCACAGGUGUGCCAGGUUUGCCCAAGGAACACACAGAAGAAUUAAGUGAAACGAGAACGUCUACAAGUGGAGAUGUUACCGGUUUGCAAUCGGACAAAACUUCUGUGAAAACAGAACCGUCCUCGCAGCCGAAAGCAGAGCAAGUGACAAAUGAAGAUAAGGUUUUGGACAACACCAGCAAGACCACUAUGGAAUCUGAUUCAGCAGCCUCUGAAAAUAUGAGUCAAAGUGAUAAAAGUGGGCAAGAUACAAAGAACAGCCGUCUAUUCCCAGAGAGACAAAGCAAUCAAAGGUUACAUAAUACAGAGACCGGGCAGGACGUUCCGAUUUUAAAACAGGCCACGCAGAAUACAUUUCAUGCAUCAGGAAAGGAAAAGCAGAGUGUAAGGGAUUCUCAUUCAACCAGGAAUAAUAGAGUAAGUGCAUCCAAGGACCAGCCUUAUGACAAACAAGAAGCCAAAUCCAAACCUAGGGCCUCCACAAUACCAGAGAUUUCGGCUAUUGCGGACUACGCCAGAUUGAAAGUGAUCGCUGCAGAAGACGUGCCAGAUACAAUACAGGAAUUCCCUCCGAACAAAAAGGAAGGCUUUUUCCCCAUGAUACAGUCUCGACACAGCAGGCGCCCAGUCUUCACUGCAGAGACACCAGAGCGAAAGACGGUGAGUAAGAAGACAGUGUUGAGGGAGCCAGAACCAAGCCUCAAAGUGGAAAAGGAGCCCAAACAUCUAGUGUUUUCAACCAUGGAGUCAGACCACAAAAGGACUGGAAUGUUCAAACUGAGAGAAAAAGAAAAUGUGCUUUCAGAUGUCAAAACAAAAGACAAGGCAGAUGAUGAUAAAAUGCGUACACAAGAUCCUACAGGGACUCCCCAGGCAGGGUCUGAAGACUUCCAGUAUUGGUCACGGGACACGGCCAAACCUGCAGGUCCAACGUUGAGUUCCUCUGCCAAUAUCAACCAAACAAAUACAUCUUUAUCACAGCACUCGGCUCAGCCUGACAACUCCACCACGACCGAAAGACCCCAAGGUGGUGAGGUAUUUACUGAACCAAGGACAGGGCCACAGGUGGAUCACAAUUCACAUCAACAAGCCAUGUUUGGGAAAAUGUUCAACAAAGGCAAGAACAGAGGGGACAGAAGCAAUGCAAUAGUGAGCGAGGCAAAAUCCAAAGAGAAUGAGGAGGCAAUGGCAGCCAAACAGAGACAGGAAAAUAAAAUCAUUCAACAGAUUAACGAGGAGAGGAGAGCUACUCUGGAGACCCAGAAAAGAGAAGCGAGGAGAGCCAGAGAGAGAGAGGCCAGAGCUGCUAGGAUCGAGGAGGAUAGGAGGGAAACCCAGAGAGAAGCAGAAAGAAUGGCAGAGGAGGAAAGGAGGGAGACCCAGAGAGAAGCAGAAAGAAUGGCAGAGGAGGAAAGGAGGGAGACCCAGAGAGAAGCAGAAAGAAUGGCAGAGGAGGAAAGGAGGGAGACCCAGAGAGAAGCAGAAAGAAUGGCAGAGGAGGAAAGGAGGGAGACCCAGAGAGAAGCAGAAAGAGUAGCAGAGGAGGAAAGGAGGGAGACCCAGAGAGAAGCAGAUAGAGUAGCAGACGAAGAAAGGAUGGCACAGCUGCUCAAAGAGAAAGCUGCUCAGGAGGAGAUGGAGAAGAAAAGAGAGGAGGAGACUAGAGUGGUUGAGGAGGAGGGGAGGAAGAAAAGGAGAGAAGAAGAAAGGAGGAAGAAGGAGACGGAAGAGAGGAUCGCCGCCCAGAUCCAGGAGGAGAUGAGGAGGGCCAAACAGCGGGAGGAGGAGAGACGCGCGCUUGAGGAAGAGGCACGAGUAGCAAAGGAGGUGGAGGACAAGAGGAGGGACAGGCGGCGAGAGGAGGACAGAAGAGUGGCUCAGAUACAGGAGGAGCGGAGGGCCUCUCAGGUAGAGGAGCAGAGGAGAGAGAGGGAGGAGCAGAGGAGAGAGAGGGAGGAGCAGAGGAGAGAGAGGGAGGAGGAGAGGAGAGAGAGGGAGGAGGAGAUGGCCCGAGCAGAGGAAGAGAGGAGGGCGAAACACCGAGAGAUAGAACAGAGGAUAAAGGAGCACGAGGAAAGGAGAGCUGCCAAGCUGGAGGAGGACAGAAUGAACAGAAAGCAAGAAGAGGCUCACAGGCAGCAGGAAAGACGAGGAGAAACCAGAGAGGAGGGAGAGCUGCCUGCUCCGAUGGAGGAGCGGGAGGGACAACAGGUGGGGACGGAGGGAGCACCACCUUCUCCACGGAUGGAGGCGAGGAGAGCAGCUCCGUUGAUGGACGCUCUGCAGUACUACGCCAUCAGCUCCUCGGCAAACUCCAAGGAGAAACAACCGCUCUCCCCCGUGUCCCCCCGGAGACGAGGGGAGCCCACCAAGCAGGGGUCCACCCCGGACGAGUCUCUCAGUAGUCCUCCAGCCCCGUCCUCUCCGGCUCCGGUUCCCCCCCGCUCCACGGCCUCGUCCCCCGCCCCGGGACCCAAGCCCACCAUGUUCAGGGUGAAGGACAACACCCUGAGGGCGUCCUCGCUGACCAAGUCGGUCAAGCCGCGCCUGCACAAGAGCUUCGGCGAGGACUUCAGGGUGGGCUCCCCGCUGGCCGAGCGCAGGGGGCCGGACAGAGCCGAGGAGGAGCGGGACGGAGCGAGACGCAGCGCUGGAACCCCCGUCCACCAAGACACCGUCAGCAGGUCCUACAGACCGCCCAGUGUGAAGGAGUCAAUGGCGCCGCCGUCGGAGCCGGAGCCCCGCGCCGCUCGGGCAGAUCACCGGCCCUACUCCCGGAGGAGCACGGCCCCGGACGAGGACGACUCUCGCUCCUGCGUCAGUAACGUGUCCGAGGACGUGGAGAGCUUCGCCACCAGUGUGGGGGACAUGUCUGAUUUCAGGGGCUUCUGCGACUACGACAGGCCCGAGUCGGCGUGCAGCUUCAGCAGCGACGUGUCCCGCUCCCUGGGGAAGCCUCCGUCUGUGCCGCCCAAGAGCGACAAGGCGCUGAGGCGGGCGCUACGGCUCACCACGCGCAGGAUGAAGAAGGGCUUGAUGAAGACGCCUGAGGAGGCCCCGGCCCCAGAGGAGGACCCCCUCCGCUCAGCCCGUAGUUCCUCCUCCAGCGCCAGCGCGCGGUGGUGACCCCGGUGAGGCAGUACCACGUGGAGCCCGGCUACGCCCCGUCCUACCCGCUCACCCAGCCCAAGGUGCUGCAGGACCCGGGCUCCGGCCAGUACUACGUGGUGGAGAUGCCCGUCGAGGUCCAGACCAAGACCUUCUUCGACCCCGAGACGGGCAAGUACGUCCAGCUGAACGUGCGUCAGUCGGCCCGGGGGGGCUUCCAGGCCCCGGCCCAGCACGCGGCCUAUCAGCAGCCUCGGAUCGCCCAGCCGCAGAUGCACGUCCAGGCGCUGCCGCAGGCGUACCCCCAGGUGGCCACGCCCGGGAAGUCCUUUGUGGUGUACCCGGGGUACCCCCCGGGGCGGCAGGCCGUGCCCGUGUCCACGCUGCCCCCCCAGAGGUCGUACUCGGGGAUGUCUCUCCCUGAGACCCUGCCCCCCCCGGGGCAGUCCGCCAGGGGGGGGCAGAACGAUAGCUACCAUGGGUACAACGCGGAGGAAACUCCUUAUAUGGACACGGCCUAUGAGACGGACACGAUAUGUGACACAAACAAAGUCCACCGUGGGGGCUACGAGAAGCAACCCGAGACGCGCACAGACAGCCGUCUCCAGGGGGGGUCCGUCAGCUACGAGAACGAUACGAUACCGGCCCGGUCCAGCCAAGAACAGCGUGACAUCAUAGCCAUGAGUGAGCUGGAGGACUUCAUGGAUGUGUCUGAUUGGUGAGAGGAGGCAAUAGACAGGCUAGGUUGCGGGGGGGUUAACUUUGUUUAAAGGAGAAAGAGUUAUUAAAAUAUAUAAAACAUAAAGUAUUUUUCAAAUAGAGUAGUAUACACAGCACCUUCACCACGGCUGAACAAAUAUAAAGAUAUAUGCUAAAAUAUUUAAGAGUAAGUAAAACACAUACGAGUAUGUAUUUUGAAUAAAUAUUUGAUUUGUCAUAUGGUUUUAUAUGUGACAUCUGUAGUUGCAAAGGGCCUCUUUGAUUGUUUCUCUUUUACUUUGAAUGAAAGGUCCCGUAAACCGUCAAACUGCUGCUGUUAUACAGUUUGGAUGGCUAAAGUGUAUAAAUUGUGUUACAGAAAUGUUUACCAUUCCAUUUGAUUUCUUUUUUUUGUGUUUGUGUUCCACUUGAGACACUCAGCAUUUCUCUCAUACAUACGAACACGGUGUGUCGACGCCCCCGAGAACAAGUCUGUCGUGAAACCACCGCGGACAAAUGGGAUGUAAUCUGUGUACAGUGUUCACUCAGAAGGAUAGUCACGGGCACAGCGCUCCUAGACCCUGACCGGGGCUUUAAUGACCUGCUCCUGUAGGUACAUGUGCUCCGUCAUCGCCGACCGUCUGAUCUGGUGUCACGUUCAGAUGCAGGCGUUGUGCUGAACGCCUUGUGAAACCAUCGCAGACGCGCAGAGGCGCCGGAUGGUUUGCUUCUUCAGUCGAGACGACACGGUGAUGAAAGGAGUUAAUCAAGGCUGUUUUAAUGUUUCAUUUCACAAAGAUAUUGUCUGUUUCUCAAGCGGGAGUCGUCUGAGGUGCUUCGGCCGUGCGGUGGAACAGUGUAGAUUGACGUUUGUAGGCAAAACAAUUAAGCCCCCCCCCCCUUUUCAGCAAAUGCUGUAUGUGCACCUUAAAAAUAAAGGUUAAAAAUAAACAAAAUACUUUAAAAGAUUAA
ensembl:lncRNA